AGCCGCCAUGGCUCCCACUUCGCAGCGGCCCAUGAUGCGCCACUCCUCCGCCUUCUUCGACCCCUCCUCGCCCUAGCCACCCGACGACACCUGCUCCAGCCUCGCGCUCGUCAUCCUCAACCAGCGGCUGCCCCGCUUCGCGCCCCGCCUUUGGUCACGCGAUAACGCCCCCACGCCGGUGCCUCUCCCCUUCCCUCCACCUUCUUCUCAGAUCUCUUUGGCGGUAAUGCUGACGCGCUCCCUGUUCUCUUGCUGUUGCCUCCGUGGCUGGCUUGAGUAGCAGCGGUGCGGCUGUGCGUGAACGGCGGCGCCAACCGCGGCUUCGACGACAUGCCAGAGCUGCUCACUAGGCAGGACCCCGACGAGGUCCGUGGGAGGACAAGAGAUGCUCAGGACGGCCAGCAUACCAAUUGGUCAAUCAGAUUUGAUAUGCUUUUCAAAUAUGCAAGCUCUGUUGAUGUUUCGAGUUAGACAAACGGCAUGUCCACAAUGUGCUUGAUGCAAUGCUUGCCUGUGGGCGGUGGCUAUGUUAGUGCGCUGCCUGUGCUGUGCAUAUCUGAUGCUGGAGAGGUGUAAAUGUUUCUGAUAUGUCCCCCUCACAGUUUCUUCUGUGGUAUUUACACAAUCUUCUACGCACUCUUGUUUGAUGGGAUACAUUGAUUGAUUUCCUUACACCGUACACCAUGCCAUUGAAACCGUGCAAAUAUCUUGUUCAAGCUGUUGUCCGUGGGUCGAAACUUGAGGCAUCCUCUGUCAUUCUUGGAGCACGAGCUAGCAGAGUUCGUAUAGGAAGUGUAGUUCAGAGUAGUACCGUGAUUACUGGCCAUGUUAUUAUCCUUUCUUUCCUUUUCCUUGUAGAUUAUAGUUUAUCUUUGCCUUGCAACCUAUGUAUUGUGUUAUUCAUUGUCAUGUGAUCUCCAUAAUAUCUAA